GACGAACGCUGGCGGCGUGCUUAACACAUGCAAGUCGAGCGGUAAGGCCCUUUCGGGGGUACACGAGCGGCGAACGGGUGAGUAACACGUGGGUGACCUGCCUUUAGCUCUGGGAUAAGCCUGGGAAACUGGGUCUAAUACCGGAUAUGACCCUAUGGCGCAUGUUGUGGGGUGGAAAGCCUUGUGCGGCUAGGGAUGGGCCCGCGGCCUAUCAGCUUGUUGGUGGGGUGAUGGCCUACCAAGGCGACGACGGGUAGCCGGCCUGAGAGGGCGACCGGCCACACUGGGACGUGAGACACGG
rnacentral:rRNA from 1 species